rnacentral:rRNA from 1 species
CGGGAAUCGGCAGCUACACAUGCAGUCGAACGGUAACAGGGAUUGCUUGCAAUCCGCUGACGAGUGGCGCACGGGUGCGUAACGCGUAUGGAACCUACCCUUUACUGGGGGAUAGCCCGGAGAAAUUCGGAUUAAUACCCCGUAGUAUUGCUUAGUGGCAUCACUUGAGCAAUUAAAGCUUCGGCGGUAGAGGAUGGCCAUGCGUCCUAUUAGCUUGAUGGUGAGGUAACGGCUCACCAUUGCUACGAUAGGUAGGGGCCCUGAGAGGGGGAUCCCCCACACUGGUACUGAGACACGGACCAGACUCCUACGGGAGGCAGCAGUGAGGAAUAUUGGACAAUGGUCGAAAGACUGAUCCAGCCAUGCCGCGUGCAGGAAGACGGCCCUACGGGUUGUAAACUGCUUUUUUACGGGAAGAAUAAUGCCCACGUGUGGGCAGAUGACGGUACCGUACGAAUAAGGACCGGCUAACUCCGUGCCAGCAGCCGCGGUAAUACGGAGGGUCCGAGCGUUAUCCGGAAUCAUUGGGUUUAAAGGGUCCGCAGGCGGGCCAGUAAGUCAGGGGUGAAAGUUUGCGGCUCAACCGUAAAAUUGCCUUUGAUACUGCUGGUCUUGAGUUGUGGUGAAGUGGCCGGAAUAUGUGGUGUAGCGGUGAAAUGCAUAGAUAUCACAUAGAACACCGAUUGCGAAGGCAGGUCACUAACCACACA